rnacentral:rRNA from 1 species
AUUGAACGCUGGCGGCAUGCCUUACACAUGCAAGUCGAACGGCAGCACGGGAGCAAUCCUGGUGGCGAGUGGCGAACGGGUGAGUAAUAUAUCGGAACGUGCCCAGUAGCGGGGGAUAACUGCUCGAAAGAGCAGCUAAUACCGCAUACGACCUGAGGGUGAAAGGGGGGGAUCGCAAGACCUCUCGCUAUUGGAGCGGCCGAUAGCAGAUUAGCUAGUUGGUGGGGUAAAGGCCUACCAAGGCGAGGAUCUGUAGUUGGUCUGAGAGGACGACCAGCCACACUGGGGCUGAGACACGGCCCAGACUCCUACGGGAGGCAGCAGUGGGGAAUUGUGGACAAUGGGCGCAAGCCUGAUCCAGCAAUGCCGCGUGCAGGAAGAAGGCCUUCGGGUUGUAAACUGCUUUUGUCAGGGAAGAAAUCCUCUAGGUUAAUACCCUUGGGGGGAUGACGGUACCUGAAGAAUAAGCACCGGCUAACUACGUGCCAGCCGCCGCAGUAACAC